AACGGUAACAGGAAACAGCUUGCUGUUUCGCUGACGAGUGGCGGACGGGUGAGUAAUGUCUGGGAAACUGCCUGAUGGAGGGGGAUAACUACUGGAAACGGUAGCUAAUACCGCAUAACGUCGCAAGACCAAAGAGGGGGACCCUCGGGCCUCUUGCCAUCGGAUGUGCCCAGAUGGGAUUAGCUUGUUGGUGGGGUAACGGCUCACCAAGGCGACGAUCCCUAGCUGGUCUGAGAGGAUGACCAGCCACACUGGAACUGAGACACGGUCCAGACUCCUACGGGGGGCAGCAGUGGGGAAUAUUGCACAAUGGGCGCAAGCCUGAUGCAGCCAUGCCGCGUGUAUGAAGAAGGCCUUCGGGUUGUAAAGUACUUUCAGCGGGGAGGAAGGGAGUAAAGUUAAUACCUUUGCUCAUUGACGUUACCCGCAGAAGAAGCACCGGCUAACUCCGUGCCAGCAGCCGCGGUAAUACGGAGGGUGCAAGCGUUAAUCGGAAUUACUGGGCGUAAAGCGCACGCAGGCGGUUUGUUAAGUCAGAUGUGAAAUCCCCGGGCUCAACCUGGGAACUGCAUCUGAUACUGGCAAGCUUGAGUCUCGUAGAGGGGGGUAGAAUUCCAGGUGUAGCGGUGAAAUGCGUAGAGAUCUGGAGGAAUACCGGUGGCGAAGGCGGCCCCCUGGACGAAGACUGACGCUCAGGUGCGAAAGCGUGGGGAGCAAACAGGAUUAG
rnacentral:rRNA from 1 species